UACGGGAGGCAGCAGUGGGGAAUAUUGCACAAUGGGCGCAAGCCUGAUGCAGCCAUGCCGCGUGUAUGAAGAAGGCCUUCGGGUUGUAAAGUACUUUCAGUCGUGAGGAAGGUGUUAAGGUUAAUAACCUUAGCAAUUGACGUUAGCGACAGAAGAAGCACCGGCUAACUCCGUGCCAGCAGCCGCGGUAAUACGGAGGGUGCGAGCGUUAAUCGGAAUUACUGGGCGUAAAGGGCACGCAGGCGGUUAAUUAAGUUGGAUGUGAAAUCCCCGGGCUUAACCUGGGAAUGGCAUUCAAGACUGGUUAGCUAGAGUCUUGUAGAGGGGGUAGAAUUCCAUGCGUAGCGGUGAAAUGCGUAGAGAUGUGGAGGAAUACCGGUGGCGAAGGCGGCCCCUGGACAAAGACUGACGCUCAUGUGCGAAAGCGUGGGGAGCAAAC
rnacentral:rRNA from 1 species